CUGCACUUUACAUCAGUGAAAACAAUUAAACUUCUCACCAACGAAUCAUCCCUUAGAACUACUAAAAAUAGACUCUACUUGAAAGCCGUUACAAAGUGCGGGACAUUUUACAAUUUCUAUUCGAAGAUAUUUUACAUCAUUAUUUGUUGCUGAAUCAAGUAUUCAUAUCUCCCCAUUACCAACUGGUACAUGCGGAUUUUGCUGCUCUGUGGAUUUAAAUCGUGAUAUUCAAUACCAUCUUUAUACAAG